rnacentral:rRNA from 1 species
UUGGANUGGGCGCAGCCUGAUCCAGCAAUGCCGCGUGAGUGAAGAAGGCCUUCGGGUUGUAAAGCUCUUUUGUCAGGGAAGAAACGGUGGAGGCUAAUAUCCUCUGCUAAUGACGGUACCUGAAGAAUAAGCACCGGCUAACUACGUGCCAGCAGCCGCGGUAAUACGUAGGGUGCAAGCGUUAAUCGGAAUUACUGGGCGUAAAGCGUGCGCAGGCGGUUUUGUAAGACUGUCGUGAAAUCCCCGGGCUCAACCUGGGAAUGGCGAUGGUGACUGCAAGGCUAGAGUUUAGCAGAGGGGGGUAGAAUUCCACGUGUAGCAGUGAAAUGCGUAGAUAUGUGGAGGAACACCGAUGGCGAAGGCAGCCCCCUGGGUCAAAACUGACGCUCAUGCACGAAAGCGUGGGGAGCAAACAGGAUUAGAUACCCUGGUAGUCCACGCCCUAAACGAUGUCUACUAGUUGUCGGGUCUUAAUUGACUUGGUAACGCAGCUAACGCGUGAAGUAGACCGCCUGGGGAGUACGGUCGCAAGAUUAAAACUCAAAAAAAUUGACGGA